UAGGGAAUCUUCGGCAAUGGGGGGAACCCUGACCGAGCAACGCCGCGUGAGUGAAGAAGGUUUUCGGAUCGUAAAGCUCUGUUGUUAAGGAAGAACGAGUGUGAGAAUGGAAAGUUCAUACUGUGACGGUACUUAACCAGAAAGGGACGGCUAACUACGUGCCAGCAGCCGCGGUAAUACGUAGGUCCCGAGCGUUGUCCGGAUUUAUUGGGCGUAAAGCGAGAGCAGGCGGUUAGAUAAGUCUGAAGUUAAAGGCAGUGGCUCAACCAUUGUAGGCUUUGGAAACUGUUUAACUUGAGUGCAGAAGGGGAGAGUGGAAUUCCAUGUGUAGCGGUGAAAUGCAUAGAUAUAUGGAGGAACACCGGUGGCGAGAGCGGCUCUCUGGUCUGUAACUGACGCUGAGGCUCGAAAGCGUGGGGAGCGAACAGG
rnacentral:rRNA from 1 species